UACGUAGGGUGCGAGCGUUAAUCGGAAUUACUGGGCGUAAAGCGUGCGCAGGCGGUUUUGUAAGGCAGAUGUGAAAUCCCCGGGCUUAACCUGGGAAUGGCAUUUGGGACUGCAAGGCUGGAGUUUGGCAGAGGAGACUGGAAUUCCUGGUGUAGCAGUGAAAUGCGUAGAUAUCAGGAGGAACACCGAUGGCGAAGGCAGGUCUCUGGGCUGAAACUGACGCUCAUGCACGAAAGCGUGGGGAGCAAACAGG
rnacentral:rRNA from 1 species